GACGGAAGGUGCAAGCGUUGCUUGGAAUCACUGGGCGUAAAGGGUGCGUAGGCGGCCGUGCAAGUCUGGCGUGAAAGCCCCGGGCUCAGCCCGGGAAGUGCGCUCGAAACUGCGCGGCUCGAGUGCCGGAGGGGAGAGUGGAAUUCCUGGUGUAGCGGUGAAAUGCGUAGAUAUCAGGAGGAAUACCGGUGGCGAAAGCGACUCUCUGGACGGCAACUGACGCUGAGGCACGAAAGCGUGGGGAGCAAACAGG
rnacentral:rRNA from 1 species